CGGCCGCGCAGACGCGCAGGUUUCUCGGUUCCGCCUCCGCCAAUCUGGACCCUCCUCGCGUUCCGUUCGCGCGUGCGAGCCGGCGCGGAGCUGGCUGGGCCCGGAGGGCGGAUGGCGGACUCGCAGGCGUUCUGCGUGGCGGAGGAGCGCAGCGGCCACUGCGCUGUGGUGGACGGACACUUCCUCUACGUGUGGGGGGGCUACGUGAUUAGAAAAAAAUAAGCCCUACGGAAUGCCUACUGCAAAUAGAAGAUACAUCUUCUGACUUCCUCAGUGCCCUUAUAUGAUAGACCUGUAACGCAACGAAAUAAAGUGCAUACUGUGUGUGUUAAGAA
rnacentral:lncRNA from 1 species